rnacentral:rRNA from 1 species
UAGGCUGCAACUCGCCUACACGAAGCUGGAAUCGCUAGUAAUCGCGGAUCAGCACGCCGCGGUGAAUACGUUCCCGGGCCUUGUACACACCGCCCGUCACACCAUGGGAGUCGGAUAUGCCCGAAGCCAGUGACCCAACCGUAAGGAGGGAGCUGUCGAAGGUGGAGCCGAUAACUGGGGUGAAGUCGUAACAAGGUAUC